GCCGGAUGGUGGAGGACGGCGAUCGACGGGCCGGGCCCGGACCCCAUGAUAAGUAUUUUCAAGGGGUGGGACCCGAGACUCGAACCUGGGUCCUCCAGAGUGGAAAGCCGAACCAACCAACGGUCCGUUAGCAGUGAUCCGGAUAGGCAGUUCUUUGGCUUUUUUCCAACUAUACCGUCUCGGCUUAACUUUUCUUGCCCUGGGAUUUCUGAGGGCAGCACUUGGCCAUUUUAUCUCGAAAUACGAACUUGUCAAAGUAUGGGUAUUGUGAUGAUAAUUUCUGCCAGGCAGAAGAUGUAAAUCGUAUUAUUUACAAUUGUAUUAAGUAUGAACAACAGCGACUUAAUCUUCGGUUAUGCUCGGCUCGCUUGGGCUGUCCUGACCCUGUUCCUUAUUUCAUUUGCUGUCUUUCCGGAGUUGGAUGAUGUAGUAAUGGAGAUGGCAUGUAAAUAUUCUUGUUAAGUGCUGGAUUUCUGUUUAUUCGUGUUUGUGAGGAGCUAUCACUCUUAUUUUCGGUUACGGUCAAGUUUUUCUUCACACUGAGUGCAACUCAUCUAUUCUGUUUUUGAAUAAAGUUCUACAUAGCUUUAUGGUAUAGAACAUAGUAACUGGGGGAUCUCUUUCGGAUUGCGGAUAAGUUCUCCGUAAUCUUGAGAUGAACUCCCACAGACAGUUAGACAGUAGAGACCAUUUAAAACACGAGAGAACACGAAUCAGGGAAUUUCGGAUGGGAUGAGAUAUUGUGUAAUCUAUCACGAACAGUAUUAAUAAAAAUUGUUUUUUUCUAGAUAUCAAAGUAUUAUGGUGGCCACAACAAUAGCGGAUCGAACUAAAGAAAACUUAGUGUGGAGAAACAUCAUCCUACUAACGCUGUUGCAUCUGGGA
rnacentral:lncRNA from 1 species